rnacentral:rRNA from 1 species
GUCGAGCGGUAACAGGUCUAGCUUGCUAGACGCUGACGAGCGGCGGACGGGUGAGUAAUGCAUAGGAAUCUGCCCGAUAGUGGGGGAUAACCUGGGGAAACCCAGGCUAAUACCGCAUACGUCCUACGGGAGAAAGGGGGCUUCGGCUCCCGCUAUCGGAUGAGCCUAUGUCGGAUUAGCUAGUUGGUGGGGUAAUGGCCCACCAAGGCGACGAUCCGUAGCUGGUCUGAGAGGAUGAUCAGCCACAUCGGGACUGAGACACGGCCCGAACUCCUACGGGAGGCAGCAGUGGGGAAUAUUGGACAAUGGGGGCAACCCUGAUCCAGCCAUGCCGCGUGUGUGAAGAAGGCCUUAGGGUUGUAAAGCACUUUCAGCGAGGAAGAACGCCUGGCGGUUAAUACCCGCCAGGAAAGACAUCACUCGCAGAAGAAGCACCGGCUAACUCCGUGCCAGCAGCCGCGGUAAUACGGAGGGUGCAAGCGUUAAUCGGAAUUACUGGGCGUAAAGCGCGCGUAGGUGGCUUGAUAAGCCGGUUGUGAAAGCCCCGGGCUCAACCUGGGAACGGCAUCCGGAACUGUCAAGCUAGAGUACAGGAGAGGAAGGUAGAAUUCCCGGUGUAGCGGUGAAAUGCGUAGAGAUCGGGAGGAAUACCAGUGGCGAAGGCGGCCUUCUGGACUGAUACUGACACUGAGGUGCGAAAGCGUGGGUAGCAAACAGGAUUAGAUACCCUGGUAGUCCACGCCGUAAACGAUGUCGACCAGCCGUUGGGUGCCUAGCGCACUUUGUGGCGAAGUUAACGCGAUAAGUCGACCGCCUGGGGAGUACGGCCGCAAGGUUAAAACUCAAAUGAAUUGACGGGGGCCCGCACAAGCGGUGGAGCAUGUGGUUUAAUUCGAUGCAACGCGAAGAACCUUACCUACCCUUGACAUCCUGCGAACCCGGAAGAGAUUCCGGGGUGCCUUCGGGAACGCAGAGACAGGUGCUGCAUGGCUGUCGUCAGCUCGUGUUGUGAAAUGUUGGGUUAAGUCCCGUAACGAGCGCAACCCUUGUCCUUAUUUGCCAGCACGUAAUGGUGGGGAACUCUANAGGAGACUGCNCGGUGACAAACNCGGAGGAAGGUGGGGGACGACGUCAAGUCAUCAUGGCCCUUACGGGUAGGGCU